UACAGAGGGUGCGAGCGUUAAUCGGAAUUACUGGGCGUAAAGCGCACGUAGGCGGCUUGGUAUGUCGGGUGUGAAAUCCCCGGGCUCAACUUGGGAACUGCAUCCGAAACUGCCUUGCUAGAGUAUGGGAGAGGGAAGUGGAAUUUCCGGUGUAGCGGUGAAAUGCGUAGAUAUCGGAAGGAACAUCAGUGGCGAAGGCGACUUCCUGGACCAAUACUGACGCUCAGGUGCGAAAGCGUGGGGAGCAAACAGG
rnacentral:rRNA from 1 species